UUGCUCUUCAACGAGGAAUUCCUAGUAAGCGCAAGUCAUCAACUUGUGCUGAUUACGUCCCUGCCCUUUGUACACACCGCCCGUCGCUACUACCGAUUGAAUGGCUCAGUGAGGCCUUCGGACUGGCCCAGAGAGGUGGGCAACUACCACUCAGGCGCCGGAAAGUUGUACGAACUCGGUCAUUUAGAGGAAGUAAAAGUCGUAACAAGGUCUCCGUUGGUGAACCAGCGGAGGGAUCAUUACGAGAGUGUCACCGCUCCCAACCCAUUGUUUACCUACCCGUCCACCGUGCUUCGGCAGGCAGUCCUGUGGGACAGGGCCCCGCCCCCUUCGCUGGGGGUGCCUGCCGCUGGCCAACCAACAACUCUAGCUGUUUUAGUACCAUCUGAGUCUUCCACAAAUGAACAAAACUUUCAACAACGGAUCUCUUGGUUCUGGCAUCGAUGAAGAACGCAGCGAAAUGCGAUAAGUAAUGUGAAUUGCAGAAUUCAGUGAAUCAUCGAAUCUUUGAACGCACAUUGCGCCCACUAGUAUUCUGGUGGGCAUGCCUGUUCGAGCGUCAUUUCAACCCUCAAGCCUGGCUUGGUGUUGGGGCCCUGCGCCUGCAGGCCCUUAAAUCCAGUGGCGGACACGCUAGGUCUCCGAGCGCAGUAGUUUCUUCUCGCUUCGGGCGUCCGGCGUGGGCUUGCCUUGCACCAUUUUUCUAAGGUUGACCUCGGAUCAGGUAGGAAUACCCGCUGAACUUAAGCAUAUCAAUAAGCGGAGGA
rnacentral:rRNA from 1 species